UACGGGGGGAGCAAGCGUUGUUCGGAUUUACUGGGCGUAAAGGGCGCGUAGGCGGUCGUGACAAGUCACUUGUGAAAUCUCCGGGCUUAACUCGGAACGGUCAAGUGAUACUGUCGGACUAGAGUACAGAAGGGGCAACUGGAAUUCUCGGUGUAGCGGUGAAAUGCGCAGAUAUCGGGAGGAACACCUAUGGCGAAGGCAGCUUGCUGGGACGGUACUGACGCUGAGACGCGAAAGCGUGGGGAGCAAACAGG
rnacentral:rRNA from 1 species